rnacentral:rRNA from 1 species
CCUACGGGAGGCAGCAGUGAGGAAUAUUGGUCAAUGGGCGCGAGCCUGAACCAGCCACGUCGCGUGAAGGAUGAAGGCUCUAUGGUUUGUAAACUUCUUUUAUAUGGGAAUAAAGUGAGGCACGUGUUCCUUUUUGUAUGUACCCUAUGAAUAAGCAUCGGCUAACUCCGUGCCAGCAGCCGCGGUAAUACGGAGGAUGCGAGCGUUAUCCGGAUUUAUUGGGUGUAAAGGGAGAGUAGGUGGGUAAUUAAGUCAGUUGUGAAAGUUUGGGGCUCAACCAUAAGAUUGCAGUUGAUACUGGUUGACUUGAGUACAGUUGAGGUAGGCGGAAUGCGGGGUGUAGCGGUGAAAUGCAUAGAUAUCACGAAGAACUCCGAUUGCGAAGGCAGCUUACUAAACUGUAACUGACACUGAGGCGCGAAAGCGUGGGGAGCAAACAGGAUUAGAUACCCGAGUAGUC